UACGUAGGGACCGAGCGUUGUCCGGAAUCAUUGGGCGUAAAGAGCGUGUAGGCGGCCAACUAAGUCCUGCGUGAAAUCUCGGGGCUCAACCCCGAGCGGUCGUGGGAAACUGGUUGGCUAGAGUGCGGGAGAGGAGAGUGGAAUUCCUGGUGUAGCGGUGGAGUGCGCAGAUAUCAGGAAGAACACCCGUGGCGAAGGCGGCUCUCUGGAACGCAACUGACGCUGAGACGCGAAAGCGUGGGGAGCAAACAGG
rnacentral:rRNA from 1 species